GAAUCAUGGUAACUAUAUUUUGUCUCCUGCUGCUUCAGCUAAAGAUAUGGAUACCCUAGACUGUGAAGAACAGUUAGAAGGUGAGGCAAUGCUAGGACCUCAUGAGCUAAGAUUGCCCCUUGAAAUGGAGCAUGCUCAUCUUUGUUGCCCAUGCCCGUGCUGCUGCUGAACAGCUCAUUGAGAACCUAGAGCCAGAGAUUACCAACCAAUUUGUGAGAAAAAAAAUUCUCUGAUUGCUGGGAAGCACACCUCAGAGUCCCGGAGCACAUGGAUAUUCUGGACUGUGAGGACAUUUGCACCUGAUAAGAUCUGGACAGCUGAACAAAUUAGAAGGAACACAGCCAGCAACAGUCAUCCAAACCUUGGGUAAACGAAAUAAGUUGCUGCCUGCUCUCUCCAAGAAUCAACACAAACUACAAAGACACAAAACUCUGAAUAAGAACUGAAAACUUAUGAUCACUGCUGGAAACUUUCUCCACUG